rnacentral:rRNA from 1 species
AGGUUGUUAUGUGGGAGGUCCUUUAUUUCUUAUAGAGGUGGAAUUUGAAUAAGGAAGGUAAGGUUUGAAUGACUUCUUGGGCUUGGAGCCUCGAAAUUUUUAUAAUAGACCGGGAUUAGAUACCCCGUUAUUUUUCACGUAAAUUUUAAUUGUCUAUAAAUGGUUUACUUGAGUAUUACGAGUAUUGUUGAGCUUAAGUUUGAUGGUGAAUACUUAAAACUCAAAAAACUUGGCGGUGCUUUAUUUCUUUCUAGGGGAACCUGUCCUGUAAUCGAUGGUCCACGAUUAAGCUUACUUUUUUUUGUCAGGUUAAAUUACCUGUCAGUUUGUAUACCGUCGUCGUCAGAUUACCUUUAAGAGUUUAAGAAGUUGUCGGAUAAGGCAUUGUCUGGGAACGGAAAUUAGAAAAUUUAGAUUUUGUUUUGAGGCAUUUCUUUGAUGUCAGAUCAAGGUGCAGCUUAUAAAAAAGUAGAGAUGGGUUACAAUAAUGAAUUAUUAGAUGGAUUUCUAGUUGUAAUAUUGGAAUGAAGGCGGACUUAGGAGUAAUGUAAUUUAUGCAAGUUAAGCAGAGAGUUUUUGUGAAAUAAGUGCUAAAGCGCGU